AGUCUGACGGAGCAACGCCGCGUGAACGAAGAAGGUCUUCGGAUUGUAAAGUUCUGUGAUUCGGGACGAAAGGGUUUGUGGUGAAUAAUCAUAGACAUUGACGGUACCGAAAAAGCAAGCCACGGCUAACUACGUGCCAGCAGCCGCGGUAAUACGUAGGUGGCAAGCGUUGUCCGGAAUUAUUGGGCGUAAAGCGCGCGCAGGCGGUUUCUUAAGUCCAUCUUAAAAGCGUGGGGCUCAACCCCAUGAGGGGAUGGAAACUGGGAAGCUGGAGUAUCGGAGAGGAAAGUGGAAUUCCUAGUGUAGCGGUGAAAUGCGUAGAGAUUAGGAAGAACACUGGUGGCGAAGGCGACUUUCUAGACGAAAACUGACGCUGAGGCGCGAAAGCGUGGGGAGCCAACAGGAUUAGAUACCCUGGUAGUCCACGCCGUAAACGAUGGAUACUAGGUGUAGGAGGUAUCGACCCCUCCUGUGCCGGAGUUAACGCAAUAAGUAUCCCGCCUGGGGAGUACGAUCGCAAGAUUAAACUCAAAGGAAUUGACGGGGCCCGCACAAGCGGUGGAGUAUGUGGUUUAAUUCGACGCAACGCGAGAACCU
rnacentral:rRNA from 1 species